CAGUAGCCGCGGUAAUACAGAGGGUGCAAGCGUUAAUCGGAAUUACUGGGCGUAAAGUGCGCGUAGGUGGUUCGCCAAGUUGGAUGUGAAAUCCCCGGGCUCAACCUGGGAACUGCAUCCAAAACUGGCGAGCUAGAGUAUGGUAGAGGGUGGUGGAAUUUCCUGUGUAGCGGUGAAAUGCGUAGAUAUAGGAAGGAACAUCAGUGGCGAAGGCGACCACCUGGACUGAUACUGACACUGAGGUGCGAAAGCGUGGGGAGCAAACAGGAUUAGAUACCCCUGUAGUCCCUGUCUCUUAUAC
rnacentral:rRNA from 1 species